AACAGCGACGAGGCCCGAGGUGCAGCUGUCUCGCCUCGCCUGUCUUUUGCAGGCACCGGCAGGCACAGAAGAUGGCUCUCCGGGAGGAAGAUUCCUUUCCAUUUUGUUCGCUCUCUGCCUCCGCAAGGCUCCCAGCCACCUCUAGGGAGUACAGGGCGAGAUCCUGUGCCAGCGGCUCCAGUUUUGCUGAGUCAGAAGAAUCCCACAGCCGCUCACCGGAAACACAGCUGUUGAGCGAAAAUAACCACAGAGCUGAGCAUCAUGCACCUUCCAGAAAAGAUGGCAGAAAACCUCAAAACAAAAGAGAAAUACAAAACAAUAAGAGACACUGUCAAGAAAAAAAAAAAAAAAACCACCGCAGCUCACUAACUGAUCCAAGCUGGUGGCGCUCUCCUGAUCUCUCUCCACUCCCAGGCCAAGCAACCACUCUGAAAUAAAGCGAAGUUUGGCUGCUUUUAUUUACACACA